rnacentral:rRNA from 1 species
GACGAACGCUGGCGGCGUGCUUAACACGUGCAAGUCGAACGGAAAGGCCCUGCUUUUGUGGGGUGCUCGAGUGGCGAACGGGUGAGUAACACGUGAGUAACCUGCCCUUGACUUUGGGAUAGCUUCAGGAAACUGGGGCUAAUACCGGAUAGGAGCUCCUGCUGCAUGGUGGGGGUUGGAAAGUUUCGGCGGUUGGGGAUGGACUCGCGGCUUAUCAGCUUGUUGGUGGGGUAGUGGCUUACCAAGGCUUUGACGGGUAGCCGGCCUGAGAGGGUGACCGGCCACAUUGGGACUGAGAUACGGCCCAGACUCCUACGGGAGGCAGCAGUGGGGAAUAUUGCACAAUGGGCGGAAGCCUGAUGCAGCAACGCCGCGUGCGGGAUGACGGCCUUCGGGUUGUAAACCGCUUUCGCCUGUGACGAAGCGUGAGUGACGGUAAUGGGUAAAGAAGCACCGGCUAACUACGUG